rnacentral:tRNA from 1 species
GCCUGGGUGGCUCAGUCGGUUGAGCGUCUGACUUCGGCUCAGGUCAUGAUCUCACGGUCUGUGAGUUCGAGCCCCACGUCGGGCU